CCAGACUCCUACGGGAGGCAGCAGUAGGGAAUUUUCGUCAAUGGGCGCAAGCCUGACCCAGCAACGCCGCGUGAAGGAAGAAGGCUUUCGGGUUGUAAACUUCUUUUCUCAGGGACGAAGCAAGUGACGGUACCUGAGGAAUAAGCCACGGCUAACUACGUGCCAGCAGCCGCGGUAAUACGUAGGUGGCAAGCGUUAUCCGGAUUUACUGGGUGUAAAGGGCGUGUAGGCGGGACUGCAAGUCAGAUGUGAAAACCACGGGCUCAACCUGUGGCCUGCAUUUGAAACUGUAGUUCUUGAGUACUGGAGAGGCAGACGGAAUUCCUAGUGUAGCGGUGAAAUGCGUAGAUAUUAGGAGGAACACCAGUGGCGAAGGCGGUCUGCUGGACAGCAACUGACGCUGAGGCGCGAAAGCGUGGGGAGCAAACAGGAUUAGAUACCCUUGUA
rnacentral:rRNA from 1 species